rnacentral:rRNA from 1 species
UAGGGAAUCUUCGGCAAUGGGGGGAACCCUGACCGAGCAACGCCGCGUGAGUGAAGAAGGUUUUCGGAUCGUAAAGCUCUGUUGUUAAGGAAGAACGAGUGUGAGAAUGGAAAGUUCAUGCUGUGACGGUACUUAACCAGAAAGGGACGGCUAACUACGUGCCAGCAGCCGCUGUAAUACGUAGGUCCCGAGCGUUGUCCGGAUGUAUUGGGCGUAAAGCGAGCGCAGGCGGUUAGAAAAGUCUGAAGUGAAAGGCAGUGGCUCAACCAUUGUAGGCUUUGGAAACUGUUUAACUUGAGUGCAGAAGGGGAGAGUGGAAUUCCAUGUGUAGCGGUGAAAUGCGUAGAUAUAUGGAGGAACACCGGUGGCGAAAGCGGCUCUCUGGUCUGUAACUGACGCUGAGGCUCGAAAGCGUGGGGAGCGAACAGG